AAGCCUUUUAAAAACAGUCCCGUGAGGCUGGCAAGGGAACGUUCAUUUUACAAAGCCUUCCUGCCUUCGGUGCGGAAGGCUUUGAUUUUU
rfam:Bacillus coagulans 36D1, complete genome.